GUUAGUAGGCUGGGAACUCUGCUAGGCAAUGAAAGCUCACACUUCCCUCACCCAGGAAACAAAACCUGAGGAAAUCUUCGGCGAGUAUUUUUAAGCCAAGUGUUCACUACGAUGGAAGUCACUGAUGUUACAUGAUUCUUUAAAGAGGAAGAAAAUCUCCAGAUUGAACAGCUGUGUACAUACACUAAACUGAGACCUGAGCAGAGCAUGACUUAGGUUGUCUUCUCUCCCGCUCCCUUUGCUAAGGGGAAAAGAGAACUGCCAUUCAGGACGUUGGGCCAAUUGAGGUUAACUGUCUUGUGGGAGGAGAAGAACAGUGGAAAACAGCCUGCUGCUCUCUGGCUGAGGCCCAAACUCACUGAGGCUCUUAAGUGAGGUGCUCUGAGGGUGAUCGUCACGAUGGGGGCACACUUCUCUUCCUGGGCCUGAAAAUCCUCUCUGAGAUAUGAUGCUUUUCUGUAUUUCCUUCAGCUGCUUUGGAAAGGCAAAGCUUGGCGGACUGUAACAUUUUGUGUUUCUCAUAAGAGAAACAUCCCAUGCUGUUCGGACUGAAGUCUCUCUGAUGAUGAUGUUUAUUAAA